AUAUAUAUAUAUAUAUAUAUAUAUAUAUAUAUAUAUAUAUAUAUAUAAAGGGAUGGGAGGCAUGUUUACAUAGCUAGGACUCAUACUAAAUACUGUCCAGUUUCUAUUUUAGAAAGGUAUCUUACAGCUGCAGAUACGAGGCCUUCCAGUAGUCUACCGUUGUUCAGAACACUGAGAAACACCAAGUCAGGCUCAGAGGCUCUACUUUGAGAAAUGGAAAGCUUUCGUAUACCCGAUGUCGAGAAAUCUUUAAAGAAACUUUGAAACACUUAGGUUAUGAUCCAUCCAUUUAUGGCUUACACAGUUACGUUCCGGGGGAAUAACGUCGGCAUGCAGUCAACAACGAAAGUAGAUCAGCCAUUUCGGAAAGACUGCCAAAGCUCCACGGCCGUUGGAAAAAAAAUAUUGCUAAAGACAUGUAUGUUAAAGAGUCAGAACAUGAUAGCUAGAUAAAGUGUGUCACGAAGUUUAGGUUUAUAAUGCUUAUUAUAAUUAAAAUUCACUUGUACCAUAUAUAGGUAUCACUAUUAGUCAAUGCAAU